rnacentral:rRNA from 1 species
AUUGAACGCUGGCGGCAGGCCUAACACAUGCAAGUCGAACGGUAACAGGAAGAAGCUUGCUUCUUUGCUGACGAGUGGCGGACGGGUGAGUAAUGUCUGGGAAACUGCCUGAUGGAGGGGGAUAACUACUGGAAACGGUAGCUAAUACCGCAUAACGUCGCAAGACCAAAGAGGGGGACCUUCGGGCCUCUUGCCAUCGGAUGUGCCCAGAUGGGAUUAGCUAGUAGGUGGGGUAACGGCUCACCUAGGCGACGAUCCCUAGCUGGUCUGAGAGGAUGACCAGCCACACUGGAACUGAGACACGGUCCAGACUCCUACGGGAGGCAGCAGUGGGGAAUAUUGCACAAAGGGCGCAAGCCUGAUGCAGCCAUGCCGCGUGUAUGAAGAAGGCCUUCGGGUUGUAAAGUACUUUCAGCGGGGAGGAAGGGAGUAAAGUUAAUACCUUUGCUCAUUGACAUUACCCGCAGAAGAAGCACCGGCUAACUCCGUG